rnacentral:rRNA from 1 species
UGCUUAACACAUGCAAGUCGAACGGAAAGGCCCUUCGGGGUACUCGAGUGGCGAACGGGUGAGUAACACGUGGGUGAUCUGCCCUGCACUUUGGGAUAAGCCUGGGAAACUGGGUCUAAUACCGAAUACGACCACGCGCUUCAUGGUGUGUGGUGGAAGGCUUUUGCGGUGUGGGAUGGGCCCGCGGCCUAUCAGCUUGUUGGUGGGGUAAUGGCCUACCAAGGCGACGACGGGUAGCCGGCCUGAGAGGGUGACCGGCCACACUGGGACUGAGAUACGGCCCAGACUCCUACGGGAGGCAGCAGUGGGGAAUAUUGCACAAUGGGCGCAAGCCUGAUGCAGCGACGCCGCGCGAGGGAUGACGGCCUUCGGGUUGUAAACCUCUUUCAAUAGGGACGAAGCGCAAGUGACGGUACCUAUAGAAGAAGCACCGGCCAACUACGUGCCAGCAGCCGCGGUAAUACGUAGGGUGCGAGCGUUGUCCGGAAUUACUGGGCGUAAAGAGCUCGUAGGUGGUUUGUCGCGUUGUUCGUGAAAACUCACAGCUUAACUGUGGGCGUGCGGGCGAUACGGGCAGACUAGAGUACUGCAGGGGAGACUGGAAUUCCUGGUGUAGCGGUGGAAUGCGCAGAUAUCAGGAGGAACACCGGUGGCGAAGGCGGGUCUCUGGGCAGUAACUGACGCUGAGGAGCGAAAGCGUGGGGAACGAACAGGAUUAGAUACCCUGGUAGUCCACGCCGUAAACGGUGGGUACUAGGUGUGGGUUCCUUCCUUGGGAUCCGUGCCGUAGCUAACGCAUUAAGUACCCCGCCUGGGGAGUACGGCCGCAAGGCUAAAACUCAAAGGAAUUGACGGGGGCCCGCACAAGCGGCGGAGCAUGUGGAUUAAUUCGAUGCAACGCGGAGAACCUUACCUGGGUUUGACAUGCACAGGACGCCGGCAGAGAUGUCGGUUCCCUUGUGGCCUGUGUGCAGGUGGUGCAUGGCUGUCGUCAGCUCGUGUCGUGAGAUGUUGGGUUAAGUCCCGCAACGAGCGCAACCCUUGUCCUAUGUUGCCAGCGGGUUAUGCCGGGGACUCGUAGGAGACUGCCGGGGUCAACUCGGAGGAAGGUGGGGAUGACGUCAAGUCAUCAUGCCCCUUAUGUCCAGGGCUUCACACAUGCUACAAUGGCCGGUACAAAGGGCUGCGAUGCCGUGAGGUGGAGCGAAUCCUUUCAAAGCCGGUCUCAGUUCGGAUCGGGGUCUGCAACUCGACCCCGUGAAGUCGGAGUCGCUAGUAAUCGCAGAUCAGCAACGCUGCGGUGAAUACGUUCCCGGGCCUUGCAAUCGCCGCCCGUCAAG